AUUUGGAGAGGAUGUUUCUGGCAAGGCGCCGUCCGAGUUCCUUGGAACAGGACGCCAUAGAGGGUGAGAGCCCCGUACCGGCGGAUGCCUAGCCUUUGUGAAACUCCUUCGACGAGUCGAGUAGUUUGGGAAUGCUGCUCAAAAUGGGAGGUAAAUUUCUUCUAAAGCUAAAUAUUGGCCAGAGACCGAUAGCGCACAAGUAGAGUGAUCGAAAGAUGAAAAGCACUUUGAAAAGAGGGUUAAAAAGUACGUGAAAUUGUUGAAAGGGAAGCGCCUAUGACCAGACUUGCGGCCUACGGACCAUCCGGCGUUCUCGCCGGUGCACUCCGUGGGCUGCAGGCCAGCAUCGGUUUUCCUAGGGGGAUAAAGGCCGCAGGAACGUAGCUCUUUCGGGAGUGUUAUAGCCUGUGGUGUCAUGCCUCUGGGGAGACCGAGGACCGCGCUUCGGCAAGGAUGCUGGCGUAAUGGUCAUCGGCGACCCGUCUUGAAACACGGACCAAGGAGUCAAGCAUUGGAGCGAGUGUCUGGGUGCCAAACCCGCACGCGAAAUGAAAGUAAACGUAGGUGAGAGCUUCGGCGCAUCACCGACCGAUCCUGAUGUCUUCGGAUGGAUUUGAGUAAGAGCUUUAACGCUUGGACCCGAAAGAUGGUGAACUAUGCCUGAAUAGGGUGAAGCCAGAGGAAACUCUGGUGGAGG
rnacentral:rRNA from 1 species